CGGCCGUCGUUGCAGACUUGCAGGAAUUGUGGGCGGCGGAUCGAGCCGCCCCUCCUUGUGAUGUUCCCCAUGGAGGUAGUGACAGGGCUGUGCUACUAGCAGCCAUUCGAUUCCGCGCCGGUGUCGGGAGUCAUGCGGACAAUACGCACACCCGACGACCAGCACACAACUUCCACCACGUAUUAGGGUUUGUACAGUGCCGGUUGUCGCCACCAGGCAUCGCUGCCGUCCUGCCUCGCUCACCACAGAUGAUUCCGUGUGAGAGACUUCACGCCAUCAGGCUUGACCGCUCCGCUAUGGCUUAGCCAUCUCAAACGCCCAGGUUAGUAAUGCUGUUGGUGUUUUAUGUAAUCUGCCGUACAUGAAGUAAUACGUAUCAGGGCUGGGCGUCGUGGAUCGGUAGUAUUCUGAGAUUUGAACCACAAUAGAGUAAUUGCUUUUGCUUAUCAGAUAAACGGAUCUGUAGUGAUGUUCAGUUUAAAGCAGCACUCCUGACUUUGGAUGACUUCUGCAAGACACAGUCUGUCAUUAUAUCCAUGUUAAAAUACAUAGAAAAAACCAUUACUAACCUGUUUCCUAGUGGUUAUGAUCUGGAAUUACAGCAGCAGAUGCUGUUCUUCUUUUAUAUUCUAAUCUCAAAUCAAUUGAUUCAGGUUUGUGUCUUGUAGCAAGCAGACAUUUUUUGGCCUACUCCUGCACGCAUACUGGACGAACAAAAGCCCGCUGGAUAUUUGUGUUUGGACCUAGCUACACGGAGACGUGGAACUAUGUGUUUUUGUUUUCAUUGCAAUGUUUGUGCCAAAGAGACGUGGUUCAAGUUACAAAUUGCUUUCCAAUUUAGCUAAUAUGUUGUAUUCAAUAUUUCCUAUCAGGUAUCUCACUCGAAUCUGAAAAACUUAAGCCAGAAAGAAGCUAUUGUAUUCAGGGGAUAUGCAUGUGCGAAGGACUAGAGGUUUCUUGCUAUCUCAGAUCGAUUCAAUUGUACUUAGUCAAUUUAAAUGAAUACCUUAUGUGUGCAGCCUGCAUGUUUCUUGUUAUGCUAUAAUGAUCCUGUGAUCCCUUUCCUGUUCAACAAUAGGUAAUCAUGAUUUAAGUUGAAAAAAUAAAUUAACAAGGUUUUUUUUCCUCCUGCCUUUGGUAUGUUCAAAGAUCUUAUAUUGAGGACGGAAAAAAGUUUGUCAAUUCAAAUCCUAAUUAAUAAGCAGACUAUUAGUGCUACAAGGCCUUGUCAUAUAUGCAGCUUGAUUGUUUCCUGAUAUUUCUUUUACGGAGGCAAAGAAUAGGUUUAUUUCUUCACACUUUCUCAUACUUACGUGGCUUCUUUGCUCUCUCAGCAGGUGACUCGUGCUAACCAUUCCACCACCAAGAAGCAGUACUCGUCGCUAUGUUGUAAUAUAGGCACCUUUUGCUAUCUCUUGCACGUCGUGUGUAUGAACCAGUGCACUACAAAGGUCCUUUCUCUACGCUUCUUGCUUAUGUUCCCAUGAUCUAGAUGUGUAGACUGCAGACCAUAACUGUGUGCAACAAACAAUUGAUAUUUCGUUUGCAGUUUGACAACCUCCAUGAGUUUUUGUUGGAAUUCAUGUAGUCCUUAAGUUACUGCUUGUUGGCAACUUGGAUUACUCUUAGAGAAUAUAUGCAUCCGUUACUUGUUUAGUUUUUAUUUAAUAACUUCUCUGCGCUUUGAGUAUCCUAUGCUAGAUGAGCUGCACAAAGGUGCCAAUAAAUGGAUUGCACACUAGCGUAUUGGAGUUUGUAGCAGAAGAAGGCAAAGAAAUAUUGCGAGUUGAUCAUCUGGAGGAUUGGAGAUAUUUCACGGGCCACAAGAGAUAAAUAUAAUGAAGGGCUAUUGUGUGAGUGACAUGCAGACCAAGGGGCAGAAGGCACAAUAGAGGAAUUUAUUAUAUUUCUUGUAUUAGAUUAAGGUGUGAACUUUUUUUGCCACCAAGCCUAUGGCUAGCUAGUUGUCUUAAUGUUCACUUUGUAUCAAGCUGAUGUAUGUAACUCAUAUUGUAUUUCUAAAUUUCAAUUAAUAAAUUUUUGAUUUAUAUUUGAUGUAUAUUUUUAA